rnacentral:rRNA from 1 species
AAUUCCAGCUCCAAUAGUGUAUAUUAGAGUUGUCACAGUUAAAAAUCUUGUAGUUGGAUUUCUGUCGGUGCUGUUUCUUUCCCCCUGUAGGGGUGAGGAUGGGGAUUGGUUUCCACAUUUUUCUGUAGCCUUAUACCCACUUAAUGGGGGGUAUUUGGUGUUUCGGAACUUUUACUUUGAGAAAAAUAGAGUGUUUCAAGCAGGCUUGUCGCCUUGAAUACUGCAGCAUGGAAUAAUAAGAUAGGACCUUGGUUCUAUUUUGUUGGUUUCUAGGACUAAGGUAAUGAUUAAUAGGGACAGUUGGGGGCAUUCGUAUUUAACUGUCAGAGGUGAAAUUCUUAGAUUUGUUAAAGACGAACUACUGCGAAAGCAUUUGCCAAGGAUGUUUUCAUUAAUCAAGAACGACAGUAGGGGGUUUGAAGACGAUUAGAUACCGUCGUAAUCUCUACCAUAAACUAUGCCGACUAGAGAUAGGGAAACGCCUACCUUGGCUUCUCCUG